AACAUCAAUUUGAAUUGUUUUACAAAGUUAUAUUAAUGCUAAUGAUUGUAAAUUAUCAUGACGUGACACUUUUUGUUUAAUUUUCACCUUGUGAAUCAUUUAGAUCUCAUGUGACAAUGGAGAGUUUACAAGUGGUAACUUUUGUAGCAAGCUCGUGAAGUGUUUUGACAUAUCAAUUAUCACCCAAUUGUUGGUAAUCGCAUUGAAUGAUUGUAUGGCUUUAAUUUCCGUCAAAGUUUCUUCAGUUAUAUUAUUUUCUUUGGAUGACAGUGACUGUACACCUGACACACAAUGGUUUACUCAUUACGAAUUAUGUAUUUCCGAUUAUUUGAUUGCUGAAUAGUUUUAACUGUAUCUAUGACUUUUAGGAGCUGCUCUUGUAUCGCAAAACAAGUUACCCAAUGACAGUGCCACUAAAAAUAAUUCAAGUGCAAAUUCUGUAUCGCAAGUCACGGUAAACGAUGAUACUGCUGAAGUUGAAGUUGAGGCAAGCACCAACCCAACUGUUGAUGCUCUCGAAACGAUUGAUAGAAUUGACAAAAUGAUAAAAGAUAUGCUAGCAAUUUUGGACAACAUGACAACAACCAACAACCCACCUUCAUUCAUCUUACCUCCAAUGGUCUUACCUAAACCUCCAUGCCACAAACCUAUUCCACCAUUCAACUUACCUCGACCACCCUUCGGCUUACCUCACCCUCCAACCAACAUACAUCGACCUCAAUUUGGCUUCCCACAACCUUCAUUCCAACCAGCUCCAUUCCAUGGACCAAGACCAUUUUCUGGAUUCGGAUCUCAAGGUUUUGUUAAUGGACAUGAACAUUUUGGCGGACGAUUUGGUAAUAAUCAAAGAUUUGGUUUUCGACAAAACUGGUGAUUUCAGUGCAACAAAAUGUAUUACAUUUAGUUUAUCACCUCAAUUACAUUUUCUAAAACAAUAAACUAACUAUAUUUUGUUGUCAGAGAUUUUAAAUUA